UGGGGUCAUCUUACUUUGAAG
rnacentral:piRNA from 1 species